rnacentral:sRNA from 1 species
GGUUUCCGUGGAGACAGCCGAGCCUGCGGAAGGCGGCGGCGGCGGCACCUGCGAUCAGCGGCUGGGGCAGGUUAUGGUGGUGCGGACUGCGCUGUGAGCACAGCGGCCACGGGGCCCGCCAUGCGCCGGCGGCCCUGACAUGGGCGCCAGCGGGUCCAAAGCUCGGGGCCUGUGGCCCUUCGCCUCGGCGGCCGGAGGCGGCGGCUCAGAGGCAGCAGGAGCUGAGCAAGCUUUGGUGCGGCCUCGGGGCCGAGCUGUGCCCCCCUUCGUAUUCACGCGCCGCGGCUCUAUGUUCUAUGAUGAGGAUGGGGAUCUGGCUCACGAGUUCUAUGAGGAGACAAUCGUCACCAAGAACGGGCAGAAGCGGGCCAAGCUGAGGGCAUCGUGAAGCUGGAUCCCCCCCGCAUCCACGUGGAUUUCCCUGUGAUCCUCUAUGAGGUGUGACCCUGGGAGGUGGCAGACAGAAGCACCCCCU